rnacentral:misc_RNA from 1 species
CUUUUAUCCGCCAUUAGAUGAAUUCAUGUAUUAUACUUGGGUCUGGAGUUUAAACAAUUAUCAGACGUACCACAUUUUAUGUGGGCUAUAGGUGGCGAUCGUCAAGUUCAUGUACACGUGCAUGGCUUAGAUUUACCUAUAAGAAUCAAAGAAGAAAUAUAUGAAAAUGAAAUUUUAAUCAAAUACAAUAUUUACGGCGUUGGCUUCCUUUAGAAGGAUUUAAUGGGAGAUUAUUAUCUACAGAUAGGUAUAAUUUUUCUAAUCAAGAUGGUACAGUUGACCGUAGCAGAGAUAAAGUAAGAUUGCCAUCCAUGGCUUGGCAAUGGGAAGAUGAUUGGCAAAUAGAAACUACAUCAGAUGGCCAACCGUUGGAUCAUGAUGUAAAUAUGAUAAAAUUUCUUUAAAUAAUCAUCCGAAUUAGAUUCUCAAAUUUAAAGGGAAGAACCGUACCCUAUAUAAACAAAACCACGGAUUUAUCAAAUACAAGCGUACUAAAUACAAGUGUAAUUCAUCGUUUAUAAAGUACCAGUUUAUAAGGUAUUAAAGACUCUUUAUACCAGGUAAUUGCAAAAAAGAAAAAACUCUAG